GUUCAGCCAACCACGGAUAAUCUCAAAUCACCAAUGUGAUUGGUCACUUUAUCCAUGUUUAUCACUGAAGGCCAUGGAAAUUAACAAAGGUGCUUUUUUGAAUGUUAUCAGUUAACUGAAAUUUGUUAGUGGAUUAGAUCUCUUUCUCAGUGCACAUUCAUGAUGAUAAAACUGCAGCCAUAACCAUACAUUCUGAAGUAUUUCAGCAGUACCAAUAGAAUUUGUUGGUAAAGGAAUUUUUCUCAGUGAAAACUCAUGAAGUAAGAAAGCGUUGAUGUUUGUUUAAAGCCUUAAUGCGGCAGUCGGAGAAACAGGAAAUUACCUGACUUUCAAAGCAUGUGAAGCAAGGGUGAUAAUCCGAAGCCAUCUUGAUUCAAUAUUUCAAACUUAGUUUGGUCACUCUGCAGAAUCUACAAUGG